CGGACGGGUGAGUAACGCGUGAGAAUUUGCCUUUAGGAGGGGGACAACAACUGGAAACGGUUGCUAAUACCCCAUAUGCUUUCGAGUGAAAUGGAUUUCCGCCUAAAGAGAAGCUUGCGGCUGAUUAGCUUGUUGGUAGGGUAAUGGCCUACCAAGGCGACGAUCAGUAUCUGGUUUGAGAGGACGAUCAGACACACUGGAACUGAGACACGGUCCUGACUCCUACGGGAGGCAGCAGUAGGGAAUUUUCCGCAAUGGGCGAAAGCCUGACGGAGCAAUACCGCGUGAGGGAUGACUGCCUAUGGGUUGUAAACCUCUUUUUUCAGGGAGGAAUAAAUGACGUGUACCUGAAGAAUAAGCAUCGGCUAACUCCGUGCCAGCAGCCGCGGUAAGACGGAGGAUGGCAAGUGUUAUCCGGAAUCACUGGGCGUAAAGCGUCUGUAGGUGGCUCGGCAAGUCAACUGUUAAAUCUUGAAGCUCAACUUCAAAAUCGCAGUCGAAACUAUCGAACUAGAGUAUAGUAGAGGUAAAGGGAAUUUCCAGUGGAGCGGUGAAAUGCGUAGAGAUUGGAAAGAACACCAAUGGCGAAAGGCACUUUACUGGGCUAUUACUGACACUCAGAGACGAAAGCUAGGGUAGCAAAAGGGAUUAGAUACCCCAGUAGUC
rnacentral:rRNA from 1 species